CGGCGAGCGANGCGGGAAGAGCUCAAAUUUAUAAUCUGGCACCUUCGGUGUCCGAGUUGUAAUCUCUAGAAGUGUUUUCCGCGUUGGACCGCACACAAGUCUGUUGGAAUACAGCGGCAUAGUGGUGAAACCCCCGUAUAUGGUGCGGACGCCCAGCGCUUUGUGAUACACUUUCAAUGAGUCGAGUUGUUUGGGAAUGCAGCUCAAAUUGGGUGGUAAAUUCCAUCUAAAGCUAAAUAUUGGCGAGAGACCGAUAGCGAACAAGUACCGUGAGGGAAAGAUGAAAAGCACUUUGGAAAGAGAGUUAACAGUACGUGAAAUUGUUGGAAGGGAAACGCUUGAAGUCAGACUUGCUUGCCGGAGCUUGCUUCGGUUUGCAGGCCAGCAUCAGUUUUCCGGGGUGGAUAAUGACGGUUUGAAGGUAGCAGUCUCGGCUGUGUUAUAGCUUUCCGUUGGAUACAUCCUGGGGGACUGAGGAACGCAGCGUGCUUUUUGCGAAAGACUCGUCUUUUUCACGCUUAGGAUGCUGGUGGAAUGGCUUUAAACGACCCGUCUUGAAA
rnacentral:rRNA from 1 species